rnacentral:rRNA from 1 species
UACGAAGGGGGCUAGCGUUGCUCGGAAUGACUGGGCGUAAAGGGCGCGUAGGCGGAUUGUACAGUCAGGCGUGAAAUUCCCGGGCUCAACCUGGGGGCUGCGCUUGAGACGUGCGAAUCUUGAGUGGGGAAGAGGGUCGUGGAAUUCCCAGUGUAGAGGUGAAAUUCGUAGAUAUUGGGAAGAACACCGGUGGCGAAGGCGGCGACCCGGUCCUUGACUGACGCUGAGGCGCGAAAGCGUGGGGAGCAAACAGG